rnacentral:rRNA from 1 species
GACGAACGCUGGCGGCGUGCUUAACACAUGCAAGUCGAACGAAGUGGCGAACGGGUGAAUAACGCGUAAUCAACCUGCCAUUCAGAGGGGGACAACAGUUGGAAACGACUGCUAAUACCGCAUAACGAAGGAGGGGAUUGCGUCUGAUUAGCUAGUUGGAGGGGUAACGGCCAACCAAGGCGAUGCUCAGUAGCCGGUCUGAGAGGAUGACCGGCCACAUUGGGACUGGGACACGGCCCAGACUCCUACGGGAGGCAGCAGUGGGGAAUCUUCCGCAAUGGACGAAAGUCUGACGGAGCAACGCCGCGUGAGUGAUGACGGCCUUCGGGUUGUAAAGCUCUGUUAAUCGGGACGCGGUACCGGAAUAGAAAGCCACGGCUAACUACGUGCCAGCAGCCGCGGUAAUAC